AACGAACGCUGGCGGCAUGCCUAACACAUGCAAGUCGAACGAUGCCUUCGGGCAUAGUGGCGCACGGGUGCGUAACGCGUGGGAAUCUGCCCUUGGCUUCGGAAUAACAGUUAGAAAUGACUGCUAAUACCGGAUGAUGUCUCCUUGAGAGAUCUUGGGGACCAAAGAUUUAUCGGCCAGGGAUGAGCCCGCGUAGGAUUAGGUAGUUGGUGGGGUAAAGGCCUACCAAGCCGACGAUCCUUAGCUGGUCUGAGAGGAUGAUCAGCCACACUGGGACUGAGACACGGCCCAGACUCCUACGGGAGGCAGCAGUGGGGAAUAUUGGACAAUGGGGGGAACCCUGAUCCAGCAAUGCCGCGUGAGUGAUGAAGGCCUUAGGGUUGUAAAGCUCUUUUACCAGGGAUGAUAAUGACAGUACCUGGAGAAUAAGCUCCGGCUAACUCCGUGCCAGCCGCCGCGGUAACAC
rnacentral:rRNA from 1 species